GGUUGCAUCUUUUAGAUAAGUUUCUUUAUCAUCAGUUCGUUAUAGUUUGAAAAAGAGUGAGAGGAUUUCUGAGUAUUUGAUUUCUCUGAAUGAAUUUUGGUUUAUGGUGUUUAAUUGAACUGAUUUGCCGAAAGUGCUGGAUUAUUCAGUUUUGUUUUGCUGGUCAGGAAGCUGGAUAAGCAACAUGUCCACUACUUUUCCGUUUCCGGAAGCCUCUAUCAACAUCACCCUGUUCUCUUACCGACAUCAGGAUUACCCAUCAACAUCAGCACUGAUCAAAACUUGAGCAUUACAUGUUCAUGGUCUUGGCUGGGUGGAUCUAUAAUUAUACGUCAUCAAAGAAGAGAAAGUGACCCCUUGAUAUAUGCUGGUCCAAUUUAAAGUUAUGAGGUUGUCUUUUUGAAGCGGUUUUCUUCUGCCAUACCUUUGAUCACUGGUUAUUUUUGUUUAUGAGAGGAUAAGUGCUUAUCAUUCACCAAUUGCAAGAGUGGGUUUUUAUUUGCAUUUGAGGAUUUUCGGCAACAUUACUUGCAACCAAUUUGCGGGUAUUCUUCAAAGGUUGAUGAGGCCAUGAGCAAUAAGUGACAUGUCUUCUUCGUGGUAAUAGGCGCGAAACACCGAG